rnacentral:misc_RNA from 1 species
ACAAUGGGAAAAUUGGGAAAACAAAACUUGCAUAUACCAAUACUGACUAAAUCAUCGACGCCUCUGCCGGGAGAAACUUGGGGAUCCCAUUGCUUGUGUGCCUCUAUAGUUUUUGCUGGGUGAAUCCAUGGACCCCCGGAAGCCAUAAGCAGCUUUCGCUGGUUCUGGCACUGAAUCCAAGGGAAUUGACUCGAUGAAGCAUGCUGUAUUGAUUCUUGUUCUCUCAAGUUCUGCUUGAAGCAAUUCAGAGCUACACUGCUGAGCAAGAGCAAUCAGGUCAUCUGGAGAUGCAGUCAUUCCUUGUUGCCUGUCAUCAAGUGCAUCUUCACUCCCACGAGUUGAACGCCGUUGAUGCCCUGGAUUUUCAACAGCUUCAGCAACAUUCUCGGUUGCUUUCUCUAACAGCACACCUUGCAAGGACUUGAGUGACUCUCUUGCAUCAGGUGUAAAAUAUGGAUUCAAUAUGGUCUCAAAAUAUUCAAGCUCGAGCAUGAGCUGACAGAAAGCAUUUGCAUCGAGUGACAUAAGAUCUUUGCUUUUGUUCUCAUAGAAAAGGCUCAGAAAGGUAUCAAUUAGACCUUCCACAAGAAUGCCAAGUGUCUUAUCCAACAGAGGCUUAGCACCAGCAAAGACCCCUGAGUGCACAGCUACUAGAGUGUGCAAUAAUUCCACAGCUGCAUCACGCACACCUUUGACUGCAGGUGCAGCUCCCCAUUGAACACCAGAGUUCAGCAAAUAGUUCAUAGCAGCUGUUCUGAUCAUAUUAGCCUUUGCAAAAGUAUACUGUUGAAGGACCUUUACUUCAAGACCAGAGAAGGACAUCACUAGAUCUUGUAUGUCACUGCCAUCUUCUUUUUCCCCAGACUGCAGCCAAAUAUUUUUAUGCUUGUUGUACAACUCAUAAGAAAGUUCGUCUUUGCAGUAUCCAAUAUUACUUAACACUAUCAGCAAUUGUUGAUGUGAAUCAACAACACUUCCAUGCAGAUUAGAUGAUAAUUCGUCUUCAGUUUCAGGAGUAUAGCCAUUCUGUAAAUGCAGAUUUUCUUUGUUUGAUUUGUUUUGGGCAAGCUCACUCCCAAUUUGUUCCAAAUGACCUGCAAAAUCUAGGAAACAGUUUAAGAAGGCAAGUCUAACUGAUUCUUGAAUUUCUUGAAGUUGUGAAAACAUCUCUUCUGAUUUUUUUGCUUCACUCCUCAAGGACUUAAUCAUCAAACUGAUUUGAUUCAUUGCUGAGGCUAUAACUGAGCGGAAUGCUAGAGGCAAGAAAGAGAUUGUGUAUGGAGAUUUAUUCCUUUCAAGAAUGGAUACAGGAACCCAUGUUUCCUCUUUUGAUAUCUCUUCUGUUGUUGCUCGCAUCCAAGAGCAAAGCCUAAGUAUGUAAAUCUUUGUAAUCUCAGCCUGAAGAGUUCUGAGUGCCAUGACAGCAAUAGGUGGAGCUGACUCUUUUGCUUCAAAAGCUUGGCAGGCUUUGGAUAUUUC